rnacentral:rRNA from 1 species
UCAAUUGUCUUAUAAUUGAAGACUGGAAUGAAUGGUUGAACGAAAAUUAAAGCUGUCUCAUUUGUAUUAAUUAGAAAUUGGUUUUUAAAUGAAGAGAUUUAAAUUUAAUUAAUAGACAAGAAGACCCUAUUGAGCUUUAAAUAACCUUGAAAUUAAAAAUUUAUUAUUAGAGAUUUAAGUUUUAAAUGUUUUUUAGUUGGGGCGAUUGAGGAACAGGAGAAGCUUCCUUUAUUUGCUAAAUUGAUGAAUUUUGAUCCAGUAUUAAACUGAUUAAUAGAGAUAGUUACCAUAGGGAUAACAGCAUAAUCUUCUUGGAGAGUUCUUAUCAAAAAGGGGGGUUGUGACCUCGAUGUUGGAUUAAAAUAUCCUAAGGGUGUA